CUCGGAGUAACUCAAAUAGGAUGGCAGAGUUGUUCCUUUCCAUUUUCUACAGAUCCCGCCUGAAAAUGCAUGCGCCUUGCAGGUGACACUGUUGCAAGAAGAAAUAAUGACAUUCCUUUCCAUAUUCAACAAAAGGUGAAUCCAGAGGUCGGGACAUCAGAAAGGCCUGGGUGAGCCACGUCAGCCGCGCCGGUUAAAAUUACUUUAAAACCUAGAUCACCUGUUAUAAAUGAGAGGCAAUAUCCCCUCCACAAGGAAGCUUUGGAAGCGAUCGCACUACUGCUGCAUUGGUACAUACAAACUGGACUUUUAAAAUUUUGCCAGUUUCUAUACAAAACCCCUAUCUUACCGGUGUUGAAACCAGGGACAAGAGAAUAUGGGUCUGUUCAAGACCUAUGGAAAGUCAACCAAGUAGUAGAGGACAUUCACCCGAUUGUGCCAACCCAUAUACCCUCUUGGUUACUAUAGCCAGUUAAUGUGCUCGGUUUUCAGUACUGGACUUGAAAGAUGCCUUCUUUUGUAAUCCUCUACACCCCGAGUCUCAGCCUCUAUCUGCCAUUGAAUGGACUGAUAUUAAAACAGGGAAUUGCUGUGGGGGUACUAUCUCAAACCUUGGGACCAGCCAGGCGACAGUGGCCUACUUUUCAAAACAGCUGGACAACGUGGCCAGGGAUGGCCCCCUUGUCUUCGAGCCGUGGCUGCAACAUGUGACCUGUUACAGAAAGACGAGAAAUUUACCCUUGGAAAAAGUUCCAACCCGGAGAUCGGAGGUGAAGUCCUGUGGAAAACCUGGAAGAAUCAAACCCCGGGAGAUCAACUGGCCCCUCAGUGAGAGGAACUUUUUGAAGUUCUCCUGACCACCCACUCGUCUCUGAAAUUAACAGAAGUAGCUGUGUGCACGCAUCCCUCAAGAGUGAAAACAGCCCCACCAAAAGAAGAGAAAGAAGCAGACAACAGAGAGCCACCGUACUCUUGUACUCCAAUUCAGGGCCUGAAGUGCAAGUUCAAGAAGCUUACAUUCCAGUCUCUACAAAAGGUUUAAGAUUUACCAACCUACCUCCUUGGAGGGUGG